rnacentral:rRNA from 1 species
UACGAAGGGGGCUAGCGUUGUUCGGAAUCACUGGGCGUAAAGGGCGCGUAGGCGGCUGUUCAAGUCGGGGGUGAAAUCCCGUGGCUCAACCACGGAAUGGCCUUCGAUACUGGACGGCUCGAGACCGGAAGAGGUGAGUGGAACUGCGAGUGUAGAGGUGAAAUUCGUAGAUAUUCGCAAGAACACCAGUGGCGAAGGCGGCUCACUGGUCCGGUUCUGACGCUGAGGCGCGAAAGCGUGGGGAGCGAACAGG